rnacentral:siRNA from 1 species
GCCCGUAUAGCUCAGUGG